rnacentral:ncRNA from 1 species
GCAGAGUAGACGUCAAAGCGUUAAGUGCCCAGUGAACAGGGAGUUGUCAUUGGGACGAAGAGAAUUCCUCGCGGUUUUGGUGUCGCAUCCCGCUGC